GCGUUUCAUUAAGUAACCAGCGACAUUUAUUGGGCUUAGUUGAGUUUGGUCUUUACGCUUUACUCAAGUGACCGAGCCCAAUAUUGAGUAACCUUUAUCUCCUCUACCGUGUCUGAUCGAAAUUUAGGGUUCUUCUAUUGGUGGAUUCGAUUACGCCGGUCGAGAUUCUUCUUCAUUAGUCGAAAAAAUGCUUCUGUUUCAUCCCAUUUAACCUCUUCUUAACUCGAACAACCACUAUAUAGCCAUCAAUGUGAAGUUCUGUCUUGCGAGUCUGGUUUUCCUCCUCUGAAAACCAUCACCUCAAUCCCUCAAAACCAACCAUUAAAUUUAUUUUCUGAGAACUGGCUAGCGCAUCAAUUUUCCUUUCUGAUUUGAAGACCGGACGAUGCUCCUCCACCGUUGAAUUGCGGUUGAUCCGUUUCUGGGAGGCCAGGAACGUCUUGAGGCGGUGGCGAACUCAGGGGAGUGGAUAAGCUCAUACUGGAUUCACAGGUUGUUAUGUAUCAUAGCUUGCGUUCAUAAUUUUAAUUUUUUUUUCCGGCGUGUUAAAUCCGCCUUAUCAAGUUUUUCUAUUUAGAUAUUUGUUUGACGUUUUAUAAAUGAGGAAUAUUUAGUCCGUGCGUUGAUUGUUCUGUCAUAUUUUUUUUAAUGUUUCUGUCAUGUUGAAUCCUUAUUACCAAGUUUACUGUUUAGAUUUUUGUUUGACAUAUUUUGAAUAAGGCAAUUUAAAACCGUUUGUUGAUUGUUCUGUAUAUUCAUGUGGGUUUGAGGCAACCAUUGCUGCGACUUGCUUGCUUGGAAAGCCUGCAAUGAUAAUCAUGACAUACCAGAAGAUGUAGAUAUACCAUUGUAUAUCGAACCUUCAACUUGAUCACUUUUUGACGGUUGUAACAACUAUAAACGCAAGACGGGUCAAAGCAGAGAUUAUAUGCACACUCAUCAUGAAGUACGCAGAGAAUUGGUUGCCACUAAUCGAAGAUGAUUUGGAAAUAAUACGAGGUUACAGGUCAGGAAACAUUGAGUUGCAGCUCAGUGUUGAACGAGAGAGAACGGAGGAAGGAAGUUUAGGAUGUUAAGAACAAAAGUGAAUCAUAGAAAGCUUAGUAAGUGUGCUUCAUACACAACCUGGAACAGUACCAUGCCAGUUUCUGUUGAGGUUACUGAAUCAACUUUAUAAAUGUAGAAAUGAUCAUUUUUUAAUGCAAACGAUGAAUGUAAAGCUAUGGUUACUGCAGCUAUGCUCGCAUAUUUCGAUGGUGACUAACGGCGAAGCGCAGCAGAGGAUCUUAUAUACCAAAUAAGUCAAUAAGAAGAUGGCACAAAGAGAAAAAAGAAAGUAAUGAUCAAGAAAACAAUUACCAAAAAGUCUCUAAAAGCUUCUGGACAUCUGAUUUAUCUGGGAAUGCUUCUAAGGAUCUGCUGCUAAUGCAUAAAUCGGUGCAAAUACUGUCAGAUUUGUGAUAAGUCUUAUGAAGCUAAACAGAGGCGUGAAGACAUGAAGACAUCCUGUUAAUUUCAAUGAUACACGUACAUUAUAAACCGAUGUCGAAAUAUAUUGAAAUUUUUUGUAAUGCUCAGGUUUAAUUAUUAAAAUAUGAUAUUUUUACUAAUUAGAGUUACAUUUCUC